UACGUAGGGUGCGAGCGUUGUCCGGAUUUAUUGGGCGUAAAGAGCUCGUAGGCGGCUUGUCGCGUCGGCUGUGAAAACCCGCGGCUCAACUGUGGGCGGGCAGCUGAUACGGGCAGACUAGAGUGCGGUAGGGGAGACUGGAAUUCCUGGUGUAGCGGUGAAAUGCGUAGAUACCAGGAGGAACACCGGUGGCGAAGGCGGCUUCCUGGCCGAGUACUGACGCUGAUGCACGAAAGCGUGGGGAGCGAACGGG
rnacentral:rRNA from 1 species